rnacentral:rRNA from 1 species
UACGUAGGGACCAAGCGUUGUUCGGAUUUACUGGGCGUAAAGGGCGCGUAGGCGGCCUUCUAAGUCAGACGUGAAAUCCCCCGGCUUAACCUGGGAACUGCGUCUGAUACUGGGAGGCUUGAGUGCGGCAGAGGAGACUAGAAUUCCUGGUGUAGCAGUGAAAUGCGUAGAUAUCAGGAGGAAUACCGAUGGCGAAGGCAGGUCUCUGGGCUGACACUGACGCUCAUGCACGAAAGCGUGGGGAGCAAACAGG